UAGCAUAUCAAUAAGCGGAGGAAAGGAAACCAACAGGGAUUGCCCUAGUAACGGCGAGUGAAGCGGCAACAGCUCAAAUUUGAAAUCUGGCUCUUUCAGAGUCCGAGUUGUAAUUUGCAGAGGGCGCUUUGGCGUUGGCAGCGGUCCAAGUUCCUUGGAACAGGACGUCACAGAGGGUGAGAAUCCCGUACGUGGUCGCUGGCCUUCGCCGUGUAAAGCCCCUUCGACGAGUCGAGUUGUUUGGGAAUGCAGCUCUAAAUGGGAGGUAAAUUUCUUCUAAAGCUAAAUACUGGCCAGAGACCGAUAGCGCACAAGUAGAGUGAUCGAAAGAUGAAAAGCACUUUGGAAAGAGAGUCAAAUAGCACGUGAAAUUGUUGAAAGGGAAGCGCUUGCAGCCAGACUUGCCUGUAGUUGCUCAUCCGGGCUUUUGCCCGGUGCACUCUUCUGCGGGCAGGCCAGCAUCAGUUUGGGCGGUUGGAUAAAGGUCUCUGUCAUGUACCUCUCUUCGGGGAGGCCUUAUAGGGGAGACGUCAUGCAACCAGCCUGGACUGAGGUCCGCGCAUUUAUGCUAGGAUGCUGGCGUAAUGGCUGUAAGCGGCCCGUCUUGAAACACGGACCAAGGAGUCUAACAUCUAUGCGAGUGUUUGGGUGUCAAGCCCGAACGCGUAAUGAAAGUGAACGGAGGUGGGACCCCAUUAGGGUGCACCAUCGACCGAUCCUGAUGUCUUCGGAUGGAUUUGAGUAAGAGCAUGGCUGUUGGGACCCGAAAGAUGGUGAACUAUGCUUGAAUAGGGUGAAGCCAGAGGAAACUCUGGUGGAGGCUCGCAGCGGUUCUGACGUGCAAAUCGAUCGUCAAAUUUGGGCAUAGGGGCGAAAGACUAAUCGAACUAUCUAGUAGCUGGUCUGCGU
rnacentral:rRNA from 1 species